UACGUAGGGGGCGAGCGUUACCCGGAAUCACUGGGCGUAAAGGGUGCGUAGGCGGCCUAGUGUGUCUGGCGUUAAAAUCCACGGCUCAACUGUGGGUAUGCGCUGGAAACUGCUUGGCUUGAGUGCAGCAGAGGCAGACGGAACUGCUGGUGUAGAGGUGAAAUUCGUAGAUAUCAGCAGGAACGCCGGUGGAGAAGUCGGUCUGCUGGCCUGUAACUGACGCUGAGGCACGAAAGCUAGGGGAGCAAGCCGG
rnacentral:rRNA from 1 species